rnacentral:rRNA from 1 species
UUGGUCCUACGGGGGGCAGCAGUGGGGGAUAUUGCACAAUGGGGGGAACCCUGAUGCAGCGACGCCGCGUGGGUGAAGAAGCGGCUCGGCGCGUACAGCCCUGUCAGCAGGGAAGAAAAUGACGGUACCUGAAGAAGAAGCCCCGGCUAACUACGUGCCAGCAGCCGCGGUAAUACGUAGGGGGCAAGCGUUAUCCGGAUUUACUGGGUGUAAAGGGGGCGCAGACGGCGAUGCAAGCCAGGAGUGAAAGCCCGGGGCCCAACCCCGGGGCUGCUCUUGGAACUGGGUGGC